rnacentral:rRNA from 1 species
AGUCAACCUGCCCUAGGGACGUGGACAACCACGGGAAACUGUGGCUAAACCGCGAUAGGCCAUCGCUGCUGGAAUGGGCAAUGGCUCAAACCUACAUGGCCCUAGGAUGGGACUGCGGCCGAUCAGGUUGUUGGCGGGGUAAUGGCCCACCAAGCCUGUAACCGGUACGGGCUCUGAGAGGAGGAGCCCGGAGAUGGGCACUGAGACAAGGGCCCAGGUCCUAUGGGACGCAGCAGGCGCGAAACCUUCGCAAUAGGCGAAAGCCUGACGAGGUUAAUCCGAGUGUUUUCUGCUAAAGGAAUCUUUUGUCAGCUCUAAAUAGGCUGGUGAGUAAGGGGUGGGCAAGCCUGGUGUCAGCCGCCGCGGUAAUACCAGCACCCCGAGUGGUCGGGAUGAUUAUUGGGCCUAAAGCAUCCGUAGCCGGUCCUGCAAGUCUUCCGUUAAAUCCACCUGCUCAACAGUUGGGCUGCGGGAGAUACUGUAGGACUAGGAGGCGGGAGAGGCGAGGGGUAUUCCUUGGGUAGGGGUAAAAUCCUCUGAUCCAUGGAGGACCACCAGUGGCGAAGGCGUCUCGCCAGAACGCGCUCGACGGUGAGGGAUGAAAGCUGGGGGAGCAAACCGGAUUAGAUACCCGGGUAGUCCCAGCUGUAAACGAUGCAGGCUCGGUGAUGGACUGGCUUCGAGCCAGUCCAGUGCCGCAGGGAAGCCGUUAAGCCUGCCGCCUGGGGAGUACGGUUGCAAGACUGAAACUUAAAGGAAUUGGCGGGGGAGCACCACAAGGGGUGAAGCCUGCGGUUC